CACCCGACGUUGGAGGAGGGGCAAUAGCUCGUCCGUAAGGAAGGAUCAUUG
rnacentral:rRNA from 1 species